rnacentral:rRNA from 1 species
AGAGUUUGAUUAUGGCUCAGGAUGAACGCUAGCGGCAGGCUUAACACAUGCAAGUCGAGGGGCAGCACGGGUAGCAAUACCUGGUGGCGACCGGCGCAAGGGUGCGUAACGCGUGAGCAACAUGCCCUAUACAGGGGGAUAAACCAGGGAAACUUGGACUAAUACCCCAUAGCAUUUAUUUAUGGCAUCAUGAAUAAAUUAAAGCUUCGGUGGUAUAGGAUUGGCUCGCGUGACAUUAGCUAGAUGGUGAGGUAACGGCUCACCAUGGCGAUGAUGUCUAGGGGUUCUGAGAGGAAGGCCCCCCACACUGGGACUGAGACACGGCCCAGACUCCUACGGGAGGCAGCAGUGAGGAAUAUUGGACAAUGGAUGGAAAUCUGAUCCAGCCAUGCCGCGUGCAGGAAGACGGCCCUAUGGGUUGUAAACUGCUUUUAUACGGGAGCAAUAAGGUCUACGUGUAGACUGAUGAGAGUACCGUAUGAAUAAGCAUCGGCUAACUCCGUGCCAGCAGCCGCGGUAAUACGGAGGAUGCGAGCGUUAUCCGGAUUUAUUGGGUUUAAAGGGUGCGUAGGCGGCCUUGUAAGUCAGCGGUGAAAUUUUGCAGCUUAACUGUAAAAGUGCCGUUGAUACUGUGAGGCUAGGAUUUGGUUGCUGUGGGUGGAAUGUGUGGUGUAGCGGUGAAAUGCUUAGAGAUCACACAGAAUAUCGAUUGCGAAGGCAGCUCACAAAGCCAAGAUUGACGCUGAGGCACGAAAGUGUGGGGAUCAAACAGGAUUAGAUACCCUGGUAGUUCACACUGUAAACGAUGAUAACUCGCUGUCGGCGAUAUACAGUCGGUGGCCAAGCGAAAGCGAUAAGUUAUCCAACUUGGGAGUACGACCGCAAGGUUGAAACUCAAAUGAAUUUGACGGGG